UACAGAGGGGGCAAGCGUUGUUCGGAAUUAUUGGGCGUAAAGGGUAGGUAGGUGGUCUCAUUUGUCUGGGGUGAAAGCCUUGGGCUUAACUCAAGAAGUGCCCCAGAAACGGUGAGACUGGAGUCCUGGAGAGGGUCGUGGAAUUCUCGGUGUAGCGGUGAAAUGCGUAGAGAUCGGGAGGAACACCAGAGGCGAAGGCGGCGACCUGGACAGGUACUGACACUCAACUACGAAAGCGUGGGGAGCAAACAGG
rnacentral:rRNA from 1 species